GGGGAGGAAAAGAGCGAGGCUGGGAGUGAGCGGCAUAGUAUAAGCAGCGUCACCCUUUUACGGGGACGAUCCCUCUAUCGCUGUGGCGACCAGAGAGGCCAGAGGACCACUUAAAAAGCCCCGCUGGUCUGCCACGGGGACGGCCUCCUUUGCGCCCUCGGAUUGGGCCCACGGACCCAGACCGGGCCCUUCCAUUGGCGGUGGUGCUGUCAGUUGCUCAGCGCACAGCUUGCUGGGAGCUGUAGGACGAGGGGUCCUCGUCCCAGAGGCUUCGGACGCUAUGAAGGACGUUUCUGCUCGGCCGGCCUGAGCCCACGAGUUCCCUCCUGGGCCUCCUCAGCUUAUUUUAGUCCAGGAAUCCCCCAGGCCCAGCAUUGCAGGUUACAAGAGCUUCGUUGAGCCCCGAGGUUCUGGGGACCCGUCUGGGAGACCGUUGAACCGAAGGCUGGCUUCGUGGUUCCCCUGGGGUGGGUCUUUGUGUGACCCUUCGGGGCCAGGGGCGCGGAAGGCCAGAGGGGUUAGGUAUUUGUCACCCAGAAGCCUACAGUUUCGUACGCCAGAAACGGAGCAAGUUUGUCCGGCUGUUUUGAGCAGUCAGUCCAAGGGGGGCCGUGACUGGUCACAAUGGGAGAGUGGCUCCUGGCCAAGAGGGAGGGAACCCUUUGUAGGCUCACAAAAUAAUUGGGAAGAUGAACGCGACAGGCAGCCUUGGCAAUUUCUUUGUCUCCUUCUUCAAGUAUCCUCACCAGGAGUCUCCUUAUUCGGCCCUCUGGGGGCUUUGCCACACCCGAGAUCUGGGACCUGUAUCUCCACAAUUUCCAGAAAUGGAUUCUUUUGUUAUUUGUAUUUAAUGAACAUGUCAACUUGCCAGAUUAAUCACGAAACUUUUGAUGUAGAAGAGACCCUUUGUCUGGACUACAUUUGCCCCAGAUAUCUUCAUGGCUUGUUCCCUAUCAGAAUGGAUUCUGUGGGGCUGCAUAUUUUUUUGUGAUAGUCAGGCCACUUUCUGUUUUUUUCUUUUCCCUUCCUUCGGAAGAGCUGUUCAAAAUGGAGAACGGUAACACUUCGUUUACACCGGGGCAAAUUCUUACAAGCUUUUAUUUAUUGAGCUGGUGUCCUUGAGGCUGAACAAGAAUGAACGCAUAAGCUGGUCUCGGACGCCAGGUUGGACCAACCGGAAAAGGCAUCACCUCAGCAGAUGACACCCAUCUUCUGAAGGCUUAGAGGUGGUCCCCAAAGGAUGCUCGGGGACACGACAAGGUGGUGUCAUUAGAGCCAGUUAGGAGAGGCUUGCAGGUUCCACUGCCAGCCCCUUUGCGAACCAGGGGAGUGCUGUGAUGGAAAAUGGCCCGAGUGUAACUGAGGAAGCAUUGCGGUCUCCUCCAGGGAGAAGAGCUGUCCUCACCGACAGCUGAAAAUCCACGUGAGCAGCGAAGCCGAAAGCUCCCGGUGAAUCCUCAUGUGUUAACACAUGUAAUAAUGUGAUGGCCAGUAUUUAUGUAAUAUUUUAAACCUCUUGUAGCACUUUUACACAUGAUCCUACUCUUUUAGAAAUAGUAUGGGUCGUGAUGAUGGGUUUGAGUUUGAAUUCUGGUUCAACCUGUUGGCUGUGUGAUCCUAAAUAAGUUACUUAACCUCUCAG